rnacentral:rRNA from 1 species
CAGUAGCCGCGGUAAUACGAAGGGGGCUAGCGUUGCUCGGAAUGACUGGGCGUAAAGGGCGCGUAGGCGGCGAUCAAAGUCAGGCGUGAAAUUCCUGGGCUCAACCUGGGGGCUGCGCUUGAUACUUGGUUGCUUGAGUGGGGAAGAGGGUCGUGGAAUUCCCAGUGUAGAGGUGAAAUUCGUAGAUAUUGGGAAGAAUACCGGUGGCGAAGGCGGCGACCUGGUCCUUGACUGACGCUGAGGCGCGAAAGCGUGGGGAGCAAACAGGAUUAGAUACCCGUGUAGUCCCUGUCUCUUAUAC